GAUGGGAUCCGAGACUCGAACCCGGGUCCUCCAGAGUGGAAAACCGAAGCGUUUCCACUCGGCCAAUCCGGCCGACAUACUCAAAAUUCUUUGUAAAGUAGUAGAAAAGAUGUUUUCAUAGUUCAUAUCUUGUGGAAAAAAUUGAUCUGAUAGUUAAAACAAAUGCAUUCAGAUAGUAAACAUCUUAUAUAAUAAAUUAAUAAUAGAAACUUCGUUCCUUAAUUGGGAGAAAUACAUACUUUAGAGGAUUCAGGAAAAUAAUAUUUUUGUUUAAACAGUCUUUUUCGCUUCCAGUAGAAAAAACCCGAGAACAAUCCGCCAUUUUUAAGCGGAUGAAGUUAUAGGAUUAAGAGAUGAUGUAGAGAUUAUUUUUAAAUAGCAGAAAAUGGUUACAAAAUUUCAUAAAAUUACUAAUUUAAAAGCUGGUAAUGCAAGAUAUAGCAGUGAUGUCGCAAACAUCUUAGGCUAAAAAGUUAGGAUCCAUUAUCAAUAUUAACCGUAGAAAAAGGCUCUCAAGUUUUUUUUUCACAAGCAUGUAUAUUAGCCUAUAGAAAAGUUCGAACUAAAUAUAGAUUUAAAGCGAUAAUCAAAUUUUUAAUGCUAUUCAUUAAAAGAUGGUGGAUUUUUAAGUUUUUUGAAAGUUAUUUGGAACCAUCCAUAAACUAUGUUAUGCUUUUAGGGGAGAAAGGAGUCGUACAAAUUAUGACAUCAUACUGUAAAAAUGGUCGGUGUUUUACAUUUCUAUGAUGACGAUUUUUUUAUAAAAUAUAGAAUGCUUAUGCUUAAUUAUUUUAAAAAUAAAACUGCGGUAUAAUAUAUUGAGAGAGAAAGUUGUCAUAAAAAUCUAUUGCGUAAACAUCCAGUUUGGAAAUUAUUUCUAAAUAAAUUUUCAAACUAAAAAUGCAUUCAUAAAUCCAGUUACUAGAUGGUCCUCGAUAUGUUCCGGGAUUCGUAUGAGAAUGUCAUCUCAUUAUGGAACUGGCUACUAGAAAUAGGGUUCAACUUGUUUGAAUGUCAGGGCACAAAGAUUGAGGGCAAUGAGAUUGCAGACGGACUGGCCAAAGAAGAGGGGAUCCUGAACUUGCUCCGGCAUACGACCCCUAUCUGUAUAUCUUUUUGGUGGAGCAUGGCCUUUAGCUCUAUAGGACAAUGUCUCAAGAUCUUUAUGAAUUUACUCUAACAUCAAAUCUGAUGCAUUUGGCAAGUUAGUAGCUCAACACCUCUUCCAUUGGAGGUCUAUUCCUGGACUAAUGUAACUGAAGGUCCUUAUUUUAGGUUCUUAAAAAAACUAAAGAAUUGUUUGCAUUGUAUAAAAAUCAAGGAUUGUUAGAGGACACUGUCAUCAUAGGAGACAAUGUCCUAUAACAAUCCUUGAUUUCCUUAAUUGGGAUUGUUAAUAAUCCUAAUUGUAAAAGAUUAGGUACUGUACAUCAAGGAGAUAAUGAAACUCCACAUAUUAUGUGGAUGUUUAAACUUCAUGAAACGAUUUGAAAAAACUCCGAUGGGAAUUAACGUCGAUGGAAUGUUAUAUGUGAAGAAGAACUUCUUGAUACGAGUAAGUUCGUUUCUUCUUCUGAAUAGU
rnacentral:lncRNA from 1 species